AAUAAGUGGAAAGACACUAAAUAAAAAAGAGACAAGCACUUGCAGUAAUAACAAUACAGCUACAGGGAAGACUAGAAGCAUCGGCCGGCAUAGCAAAACACAAUGCUUGUAAAGACAUUGCGUUGCAUACCGGCCGACCCCGUCGUCCCCCCUGGUCGUCGAAAUUGGCGUCAUCCAGAGUCGUCAGAGGUAGCUGCAAUUAGCACCUCGUCGUCGUUGUGGCUGUGGCUGCCCUCUUGGAGAACCAGUGGCACUGGUCCGGCCACCAGCUGGGAGUCAGGAGUAGACGGCACACAUAUCACUGUGGCGACACGGGUCCGGCCGCCAAAGUGAAAUGGAUGUGAGUGUGUGUGUGCGUCGGUAAUUGUGGCCCUGAUGUAGAGCGAGUGGCACUGUUCCGGCCACCAGCUGUGGGCAAUGGUGGACAAUGACACACAUAACUCGAACGGCACAGGUCCGGCCGCCCAAGUGUAAUGGUUGUGUGUGUGUGUGUGUGUCUGAAUGGCUGGCGUUAAGACCAUAGGGCACUCUGAAUGCCAUGGCACUGGAUCCGGCCACCAACUAAGGACGAUGGCGAUGGCAUAACUCGAACGGCACAGGUCCGGCCGCCCAAGUGUAG
rnacentral:sRNA from 15 species